GGUUAGAAAAAGGUUAAGUGAAUAAGGGCGCACGGUGGAUGCCUUGGCACUAGAAGCCGAUGAAGGACGGGACUAACUCCGAUAUGCUUUGGGGAGCUGUAAGUAAGCUAUGAUCCAGAGAUUUCCGAAUGGGGGAACCCAGCAUCUUUUAUAGGAUGUUACUUUCAAGUGAAUACAUAGCUUGUUAGAGGUAGACGCAGAGAACUGAAACAUCUAAGUACCUGCAGGAAGAGAAAGAAAAAUCGAUUUCCUUAGUAGCGGCGAGCGAAACGGAAACAGCCCAAACCAACAAGCUUGCUUGUUGGGGUUGUAGGACUCAGCUGUGGUAGCUGUUGUGGAUAGUCGAAUCGACCUGGAAAGGUCAGCCGGAGCGGGUAAAAGCCCCGUAGACGAAAUUGACAACACACCUAUGAGUAUCCUGAGUACGGCGGAACACGAGAAAUUCCGUCGGAAUCCGGGAGGACCAUCUCCCAAGGCUAAAUACUCUCUAGUGACCGAUAGUGUACCAGUACCGUGAGGGAAAGGUGAAAAGCACCCCGGAAGGGGAGUGAAAUAGAACCUGAAACCGUGUGCCUACAAAAAGUCAGAGCCCGUUAAUGGGUGAUGGCGUGCCUUUUGCAGAAUGAACCGGCGAGUUACGAUUGCAUGCGAGGUUAAGCUGAAGAAGCGGAGCCGUAGCGAAAGCGAGUCUGAAUAGGGCGAGUGAGUAUGUAGUCGUAGACCCGAAACCAAGUGACCUACCCAUGUCCAGGUUGAAGGUGCGGUAAAACGCACUGGAGGACCGAACCCACGUACGUUGAAAAGUGCGGGGAUGAGGUGUGGGUAGCGGAGAAAUUCCAAACGAACUUGGAGAUAGCUGGUUCUCUCCGAAAUAGCUUUAGGGCUAGCCUCGGAAUUAGAAUGAUGGAGGUAGAGCACUGUUUGGACUAGGGGCCCGUCUCGGGUUACCGAAUUCAGAUAAACUCCGAAUGCCAUUCAUUUAUGUCCGGGAGUCAGACAGUGAGUGAUAAGAUCCAUUGUCGAAAGGGAAACAGCCCAGACCACCAGCUAAGGUCCCCAAAUAUAUGUUAAGUGGAAAAGGAUGUGAGGGUGCACAAACAACUAGGAUGUUGGCUCAGAAGCAGCCACCAUUUAAAGAGUGCGUAAUAGCUCACUAGUCGAGUGCCCUUGCGCCGAAAAUGUACCGGGGCUAAACAUAUUACCGAAGCUGUGGAUAGAACUUAGGUUCUAUGGUAGGAGAGCGUUCUAAGGGCGUUGAAGCUAGAUCGUAAGGACUGGUGGAGCGCUUAGAAGUGAGAAUGCCGGUAUGAGUAGCGAAAGACAGGUGAGAAUCCUGUCCACCGAAUGACUAAGGUUUCCUGGGGAAGGCUCGUCCUCCCAGGGUUAGUCGGGACCUAAGCUGAGGCCGAUAGGCGUAGGCGAUGGAUAACAGGUUGAGAUUCCUGUACCCGUUUGUUUUGUUUGAACAAUGGAGGGACGCAGUAGGUUACAAGAUCGCACUGUUGGAUAUGUGCGUUCAAGCAACAAGUCUUGGUAAGAGUCAAAUGCUUUUACCUUUAAGGACAAGUUGUGAUGAGGAGGGAAAUUAAGUACCGAAGUCUUAAUAUCACACUGCCAAGAAAAGCUUCUAGUUAGAAACAAACGGCCCGUACCGCAAACCGACACAGGUAGUCGAGGAGAGAAUCCUAAGGUGAGCGAGAGAACUCUCGUUAAGGAACUCGGCAAAAUGACCCCGUAACUUAGGGAGAAGGGGUGCUGAACGCAAGUUCAGCCGCAGUGAAUAGGCCCAAGCGACUGUUUAUCAAAAACACAGGUCUCUGCAAAAUCGAAAGAUGACGUAUAGGGGCUGACGCCUGCCCGGUGCUGGAAGGUUAAGAGGAUGGGUUAGCUAGUAGCGAAGCUCAGAAUUGAAGCCCCAGUAAACGGCGGCCGUAACUAUAACGGUCCUAAGGUAGCGAAAUUCCUUGUCGGGUAAGUUCCGACCCGCACGAAAGGCGUAACGAUUUGGGCACUGUCUCAACGAGAGACUCGGUGAAAUUUUAGUACCUGUGAAGAUGCAGGUUACCCGCGACAGGACGGAAAGACCCCAUGGAGCUUUACUGUAGUUUGAUAUUGAAUGUUUGUAACACAUGUACAGGAUAGGUAGGAGCCGUAGAGCUCGGGACGCUAGUCUCGAGGGAGGCAUUGGUGGGAUACUACCCUUGUGUUAUGACCAUUCUAACCCGCGCCACUUAUCGUGGCGGGAGACAGUGUCAGAUGGACAGUUUGACUGGGGCGGUCGCCUCCUAAAAAGUAACGGAGGCGCCCAAAGGUUCCCUCAGAAUGGUUGGAAAUCAUUCGUAGAGUGCAAAGGCAUAAGGGAGCUUGACUGCGAGAGCUACAACUCGAGCAGGGACGAAAGUCGGGCUUAGUGAUCCGGUGGUUCCGCAUGGAAGGGCCAUCGCUCAACGGAUAAAAGCUACCCUGGGGAUAACAGGCUUAUCUCCCCCAAGAGUUCACAUCGACGGGAGGUUUGGCACCUCGAUGUCGGCUCGUCGCAUCCUGGGGCUGUAGUCGGUCCCAAGGGUUGGGCUGUUCGCCCAUUAAAGCGGCACGCGAGCUGGGUUCAGAACGUCGUGAGACAGUUCGGUCCCUAUCCGUCGCGGGCGUUGGAAAUUUGAGAGGAGCUGUCCUUAGUACGAGAGGACCGGGAUGGACACACCUCUGGUGUACCAGUUGUUCUGCCAAGGGCAUUGCUGGGUAGCUAUGUGUGGAAGGGAUAAACGCUGAAAGCAUCUAAGCGUGAAGCCCCCUCAAGAUGAAAUUUCCCAUUUCUUUAAGAAAGUAAGAUCCCUGAAAGAUGAUCAGGUAGAUAGGCUAGGAGUGGAAGUGCAGUGAUGUACGGAGCGGACUAGUACUAAUCGAUCGAGGACUUAACCAAA
rnacentral:rRNA from 1 species